AAGGCGGACGACUGAUUUCUUUCGAAUUCUCAUUGCAAAGCGGCCGGCGAGAUCGCUCUUUGUCGGGGAAAUGGAAGGCGUGGACGCCGACCUCAACGCCUGGAGUUUCCUAGCUGUGGCUCGCCAGCUCGUCGUCACGGAAAUUGUGAGUUGUUUAAAGCUGACAUCGCUGAUCUGGUAUUGUUCGUCGAUCGGUGCUCAUGGUAAAGGGGAAUUAGGGGUUUUUGAUCUUCUUCAUCUAAUUUCUUAAAUCACCGCCUUUCGGAAUUUGCGGCUUUGCUCGCCUGUUUCGGGCGAUUUGGUGGUGAAAUUAAUAGGAUUCUUUGACCUACACCACAUUUACUUUGUUUUCCUUGCAUACGAUAGUGUUUUCGCUUCUGAUGAAGGAGGCGGGGGAUUCAAGGUUUUCAGAUUAAUAUGCGCUUCUGUUUGUUUGAAUCGUUAAACCAACAUUUUCAGCUUUCCCUUUGCAGUUUCUUGAUCUUCUUUGGGUGGAUAUGGAAUUAGAAUCCCUAUUCAUUUUGUUGUGUUUCUACACUAGCAGCUUCAGUUAUAAUUUUGCUGGAGUCUGGUGGAUCCAUAAUUGGGAGACAAUAUGCGUGCUAAAAUGCUCUGAAUGAAUUUGUUCAUGUCAUUUCAUUGGCUCAUUAAAUAAAAAAAAAAAUACAUAAAUUACUGUCGAAUUGCCCAGCUCUGUGUUCUUUGGGGCUUCAGCCUUGGCUUAGAACCAUGUAUCCCACUCAGAUUGGCCUUGGUCUAGAUUUAUAAGGUACAACAAAGGUACUUUUUUUUCUUUGAAUUGGGGUGAUUUUCUUAAUAUCUGAAUACUUUUGUGUUUGUGCACACAAACUUUGAUUGUUUAA